AGAUAUAUAAAUUUAAGUUAUUCAUUGGGUUAAUCAUCUGACUUUUUAUACCCCAUGGCAUAAAGUAGGCUAUAAUGUUUAACCCAUCCCUCUGUCUGUCUGUCAGUCCAUCAUAUAAAAAAGAAGAUGUGGUAUGAUUGCCAAUGAGACAACUAUCCACAAAAGACCAAAAUGACACAGACAUUAACAACUAUAGGUCACUGUACGGCCUUCAAUAAUGAACCCAUAAUAAGCCCAUACCGCAUAGUCAGCUAUAAAAGGCCCCGAUAAGACAAUGUAAAACAAUUCAAACGAGAAAACUUAACGGCCUUAUUUAUGUAAAAAAAUGAUCAGUCUGUUCUUUUCAUUGUAACUCCUUUGAAUCCACACAACAAAAUUCCAUGAAACUUUAUGUGUAACAUACUAUGUAGAUAUGCAUAUCACCAGGAAAUUAUGAUUUAAUUUUUGUCUCACUUCAGGUUGUCUCAAAGCGAAACAUAGGUAUGCUGUUUUUGUCAAUAUUGUAUUAGUUUGUGAGUUGGUCUAGUUUGUGGUAAACUACAAAUUGUAGGGCAAACAUAUUUGGUAUGCAGUUGUAUUAGCAUUUCCAUUGGCACAUCUCAUUUCCAUGGAGAUACGUUUGUCCUGCCCCUUUAGUCAUGGUCUAUUGACUUUGAAGUUUUGCUUACAUGUAUCAGUUUGUAAUUAGGUCAGUUUAUGGGGAACCACUAGUGGUAGGACAAUGAUAUUACUUAUCUUAUAGUAUCAGUUUGUAAUUAGGUCAGUUUAUGGGG
rnacentral:lncRNA from 1 species